UUUGCCUCUUCAUCUUCUCUAAACUGUGAGAGCAAAAUAAAGAGUACUGUAGUUAGGGUUUGAUGGGUGAAAUCUAAGGAUUUUUUUGGUGAGAAUCGUAGCGAUGGAGUUAAGGUAUUGUUCAACUAGGUUGUUAUCUUUCUCUCUGUGGUGGAUUUAUAAGUUUUUGCUUAUCGUGGGAUGGGUUUCCAUUAAGAUUUUGUUAAUGGCCGAAGACUUCAUUUCUGAUCGGUUUUCUUGAUGUCCUGCUUACUUUUGGGGAUUAUACAGAAGCAAGAUCAGCGGUGGUCUCAAGGCUUUUGGCAUCAGCUCAGUAGCCAUAACUUACAUUGAUAUGAUGGUUCUUCAGGAGAGAUAUGAAGGAACUCAAACUCAUGCUAUAUUGAGAUUUAUAUUCUUAUUUUGGGUGUUUAUGCGCGAUUAUUUCUUGCACAAGUUUCUGGUUUGCCAUACUGAUCAGUCCUCCACUCAACUCUUAAGUGGAUUUAUGAGCUGGACUUUUUGUAUGGAUGAGUGAUUAUUUUAGUCGUUCUUUGAUCUGGGAAACACAAACAAUGAACUCAACAGUGAUUAGAAGGACAUGUACAUCAGUUCAGUAAUAUAAAGUUGAUGUUUCUGGAAACCGAAGGCUGUUGUCAUCCAUGUUCCUCACUGACUAUGCAAAGGUUUCAGAAAGAGUCAUUUUGGUCUUGUAACAGAGCUUAAGAAGAAGUUCAGUAGCAAGACAAGUUGAUUUUUCCAGAAAAUUGUUGUCAUCCAUGUUCCUUACUGAAUACGCAAAGGUUUCAGAAAGAUUCAUAUCGGUCUUGUAACAGAGCAUAAGAAGAAGGUCAGUAGCAUGGUAUAGUCUUUUGGUUGUGUAGAUGCUUUAGAGACAUCAUGCUAUCUUAAUUUUGGUUGUUGGUGCAUCCAAAUGAUAUAUGUUUCGUAUUGAACUUUGGGAACAUGAACAAAAUCAGAUGGGAGGUUCAUGAAAUUGAACGAAUUAGAGAAGAUCAAAAUACAUUUAGCUAAAUCUCAUUAACUGUGAUAUAGCACUUUCAUACCAGUCUCUAGAGUUACCAAUAUCCAAGUAUGUAAAUAUGUACCCAGAAUGCGCUGAAGUUGAAGUUGAUGGAGUUAGGAUGGAGAAUUUAUUAGGAAGAGUGAAGGGAAAAGUCUUACAAAAUUGAAUCAAAUUUUUUGAUCUAGAAUUUUGUGUACUCAGAUUUAAAUUGUGCGAAAUCUAUGGGGGAUGAUAAAAGGAUGAGAUAAAAUAUGAAACAAUUGAAAUAGCGUUCUGGAAAAAUUUACAUCAAAAUUUAAAUUGAAAAAUAGAUUGGGGUUCGAAUAAAGGUCAAAAUUUUUUGGACAUACAUAAUCUAUUUUGUGGUUAGGUUGUUAAUAGUUUGAUUAUCUCUGAAUCGAUUUGGGGACGAUGAUAUAAUGGAAUGAAUGUGUCUUAAUCGUUUCGGGGACGAUGAAAAAACUGGCAGAAGUUGAAGUAGCACUUUCAUACCAGUUUAUGAGCUUUGAGGAUCUUUUUGUGUCUUCUGUUGUGGAUUUGCUUGCUGUUCUUCUCUUGUCGUAUUGUAUGUAGUGUAUGGCUAAUGAUCAUCUCUCCAUCAUGUCUUGUCUGAACCUUGCACCUACAUUGUGCAAUUGGGCAGCAAAUGAAGGCAUAUAUGGUGACUCUUGCAGAUCUUGACCAUUUGUUACAGGGCACCAGAAGUUCUCCUCGGAGCCACUCUACUCAACUCCAGUAGAUUUGCGGUCUGUUGGCUGUAUUUUUGGUUCUGAACCAAGCGCUCUUUCCCGAGGAUACUGAAUUGAAGCAACUCCUCCACAUCUUCAGGUAGUUGGGAGCCCCAAAUGAAGAGCGCUGGCCAGGGCUAAGCAAGCUAAUGAAUUGGCUUGAAUAUCAGUCAUCUCAUUCUAACCUUGAGGGGAGCUGGUUAAGAUCUGCUCUUGCAAAUGUUGCGAUUCAAACCUUCACAGAGGCUAUCAGCAAAGAAAGCAAUAGAACAUCCUUACUUUGAUGACCUGAAUAAAGCUGGCCUCUAAAAUCUAUCCAACGAUGUUAUUGAUUCUAACACCUGGGCAUUUUGACGGUUCAGAGAUCAAAUCCAGUCAUUCUUUGAUCUUGGAAACACAACCAAUGAACUCAACACUGACUUGAAGGACCCUCACAUCAGCUUAGCAGUAGAAGUUGAUGUUUCUGGAAACCAUACGGCCGUUCUCAUCCAUGUUCCUUACUGUCUACGCCAAGGUUUCUGAAAGAUUCAUUUUAGUCUUGUAACAGAGCUUUAGAAGAAGUGCAGUAGCAAGAACCUUGCACCUACAUUGGCCAAUUAGGCAGCAAAUGAAGACAUAUAUGGUGUAGCCUUGAUCCUUGCAGAUCUCGACUCUUUGUAACAGGGCACCAGAAGUUUUCUUUGGAGCCAUUCUCUACUCUACUCAACUCCAGUAGAUUUGUGGUCUGUUGGCUGUAAUAUGGCUGAACUGGUUAUGAAUCAAGCACUCUUCCCUAGGACUCUGAAUUGCAACAACUACUCCACAUCUUCAGGUUGUUGGGAACUCCAAAUGAAUAGGGGGUAAGCAAGCUAAUGAAUUGGCAUGAAUAUUGACAAUGGUCUUCACAGAAGUUGUCAUCUGGUCCUAACCUUGAUGAAGCUGGUCAAGAUCUGCUCCUGCAAAUGUUGCGCUACAAACUUUCACAGAGACUGUCCGCAAUGAGCAUGCCUUGAUCUGGGAAACACAAACAAUGAACUCAACCGUGAUUUGAAGGAACUUUACAUCAGCUCAGCAGUAUAAGCUGAUGUUUCUGGAAACCGUAACGCCGUUGUCAUCCAUGUUCCUCACUGACUACGCAAAGGUCUCAGAAAGAGUCAUGUACAUACUCUUGUAGGAAGGCCGUUGUCAUCCAUGUUCCUCACUGACAAUGGUUUCAUAAAGAGUCUUUUUGGUUUUGUAACAGAGCUUAAGAAGAAGUUCAGUAGCAAGACAAGUUGAUGUUUCUGGAAACCGGAAGGUUGUUGUCAUCCAUGUUCUUUACUGAAUAUGCAAAGGUUUCAGAAAGAUUCAUUUUGGUCUUGUAACAGAGCUUAAGAAGAAGAACCUUGCACCUACGUUGUGCAAUUGGGCAUCAAAUGAAGGCAUAUAUGGUGUAGUCUUGACUCUUGCAGAUCUUGACCAUUUGUUACAGGGCACCAGAAGUUCUCGUAGCCACUCACUACUCUACUGAACUCCAGUAGAUUUGGGGUCUGUUGGCUGUAUUUUUGCUGAACUGGUUAUGAACCAAGCGUUCUUUCCCGAGGAUACUGAAUUGAAGCAACUAUUCCACAUCUUCAGGUUGUUGGGAGCCCCAAAUGAAGAGUGCUGACCAGGGCUAAGCAGGCUUAUGAAUUGGCUUGAAUAUCUGUCAGCUCAUUCUAACAUUUAGUGAAGCUGGUUAAAAUGUGCUGUUGGCGAGUUGGAACUCAAGUUGUGAUUGUUUACAUUGUGACGAAUAUCACCUGACAUUCUGAUAAUGUACUGAUAAUGUACUUAUGCUUUGUAUGUUUUAACAGCGAAUUUUUGCGAUACAAAGGAGCAUCCUACUUUGAUGACCUGAAUAAAGCUGGCCUCUAAAAUCUACUCAACGAUGUUUUUUAUUGAAUUCUAACACCUGGGCAUUUUGACGGUUCAGAGAACAAUGCCAGGUUAACCAAGGCACUUGUUGUUCUAGUCUUUUAGCAUUCAAAGAGAGUUUCUGGGUGCGAGAUUCAUAUCCGAAGAUGAUAAAGCAUGGUUUUUGAGUUGGUUGAUUAUGAGUCCCACCAUUUUAAACGAUUGUACUAGAAUUAACAUCAUUAUUCUGCUUUGUGUCCAAGUUGCUAAUCAAGCCUCCUCUAAUAUUAUUAC